rnacentral:misc_RNA from 1 species
AAGUCGUAACAAGGUUUCCGUAGGUGAACCUGCGGAAGGAUCAUUAAUAAUGAAGCCGGGCAACCGGUCCUUCUAACCCUUGAUUAUCUUAAUUUGUUGCUUUGGUGGGCCGCGCAAGCACCGGCUUUGGCUGGAUCGUGCCCGCCAGAGGACCCCAACUCUGUAUCAAAUAUUGUCUGAGUACUAUAAAAUAGUUAAAACUUUCAACAACGGAUCUCUUGGUUCUGGC